CCUACGGGUGGCAGCAGUGAGAAAUAUUGGUCAAUGGACGCAAGUCUGAACCAGCCAAGUAGCGUGCAGGAUGACGGCCCUCCGGGUUGUAAACUGCUUUUAGUUGGGAAUAAAAGGGGGCUCGUGAGCCUCGUAUUGUAUGUACCAUCAGAAAAAGGACCGGCUAAUUCCGUGCCAGCAGCCGGCGUAAUACGGAAGGUCAGGGCGUUAUCCGGUUUUAUUGGGUUUAAAGGGCGCGUAGGCGGGCUGUUAAGUCAGUUGUGAACGUCUGCGGCUCAACCGUAGAAUUGCAGUUGAUACUGGAAGCCUUGAGUGCACACAAGGAAGGCGGAAUUCGUGGUGUAGCGGUGAAAUGCUUAGAUAUCAUGAAGAACUCCGAUCGCGAAGGCAGGUGUC
rnacentral:rRNA from 1 species